rnacentral:rRNA from 1 species
CCGUCUCAGUUCGGAUUGUACUCUGCAACUCGAGUGCAUGAAGUUGGAAUCGCUAGUAAUCGCGGAUCAGCAUGCCGCGGUGAAUACGUUCCCGGGCCUUGUACACACCGCCCGUCACACCAUGGGAGUUGGCUUUACCCGAAGGCGCUGUGCUAACCGCAAGGAGGCAGGCGACCACGGUAGGGUCAGCGACUGGGGUGAAGUCGUAACAAGGUAGCCGUAGGGGAACCUGCGGCUGGAUCACCUCCUUU